UCUACGCUUCGCUCUUAUCGACGCUCUUAUCGCUUAUCGCAUAUACAUAGGCUGACUUCGAAAACGUCAAUUGCUUUACAUAUGAACAAAGUUCGAAGUUCGAUAAAGCAUCCGCAGUGUUUAUUACAUUACAUCAUAUUUUGAAACUCAUUAACUCGGUAGUCGAUGCGCAGUGAUACAGAAAAUCAUGUAUCACUAAGAAACUUUAUGCUUUUCAAACUUUGAACGCAACGAUUGCGGACUCAGAUUGUUAAUCUAGCAAAAAAUGGAAUUACUGGUGUAAAAAGCUGCUUCUGACCACCCGAYUGCGUUAUGAGGGCGACUUCGCUGCCAAACGCAAACAAAGGUCGGUGCUGUGGGAAAGAAUAUUAAAUAAUAUUAGAGAAGCUGACACCAAAUUUCCAUUCAUCCGUGAUGAUAUAACCAGGAAAAUUAUGUAUGUAAACGAAUUAAGAAGAGAAACAAUACAUCAGGGGAAGCUGCCAUUGUUAGAUUUAUGAAGAAAUGAACGAUGUUUACGGCACUCGCAGCGAUGUGACCGUUCCUCAGGAGACUUUAGAUUUAACGCUAUAUGAUAUAUUGAGUGGAACCGGUUAUACUAACGAUUUUCGUGAAUUAGAUAGCACAUUGCCAAAAUGAAAAUCAGAUCUAAAGAAAUCUAAGUUUUUUGGAAAAAGAAUCACUAAGAAACUUUAUGCUUUUCAAAGUUUGAACGCAACGAUGGCGGACUCAGAUUGUGAAUCUAGCAAAAAAUGGAAUUACAAGCGUAAAAAGCUGCUUUAGACAAAGAAAUUUUAAAAGAGUUGAUGCAAUUUGAAAAAGAAAAGUUCGAAGUGGAAAAACAAAAGGAUGAAGAAAUGCGAAGCCUCAGUUUACUACUGACAUCUAUGYGUAAUCAAAGUGUAUUCAGCAAAGUGAACUAAGUAUUGGACUUACGCUUA